rnacentral:rRNA from 1 species
CGCCCUUGAGUUUGAUCAUGGCUCAGAUUGAGCGCUGGCGGCAGGCCUAACACAUGCAAGUCGAGCGGAUGAAGAGAGCUUGCUCUCUGAUUCAGCGGCGGACGGGUGAGUAAUGCCUAGGAAUCUGCCUGGUAGUGGGGGACAACGUUUCGAAAGGAACGCUAAUACCGCAUACGUCCUACGGGAGAAAGCAGGGGACCUUCGGGCCUUGCGCUAUCAGAUGAGCCUAGGUCGGAUUAGCUAGUUGGUGGGGUAAUGGCUCACCAAGGCGACGAUCCGUAACUGGUCUGAGAGGAUGAUCAGUCACACUGGAACUGAGACACGGUCCAGACUCCUACGGGAGGCAGCAGUGGGGAAUAUUGGACAAUGGGCGAAAGCCUGAUCCAGCCAUGGCCGCGUUUUUUUAAGAAGGUCUUCGGAUUGUAAAGCACUUUAAGUUGGGAGGAAGGGUUGUAGAUUAAUACUCUGCAAUUUUGACGUUACCGACAGAAUAAGCACCGGCUAACUCUGUGCCAGCAGCCGCGGUAA